rnacentral:rRNA from 1 species
CGCCCGUCGCUCCUACCGAUUGGGUGUGCUGGUGAAGCUUUCGGAUUGGCGACUGCUGACGGUUCCCCGCCGGCUGUCGCUGAGAAGUCAGUUAAACCCUCCCACCUAGAGGAAGGAGAAGUCGUAACAAGGUUUCC